rnacentral:rRNA from 1 species
UACGGAGGGUGCAAGCGUUAUCCGGAUUCACUGGGUUUAAAGGGUGCGUAGGUGGUUUUGUAAGUCAGUGGUGAAAGCCCGGAGCUUAACUCCGGAACUGCCAUUGAUACUGCUUAACUUGAAUCAACUUGAGGUGGAUGGAAUAUUACAUGUAGCGGUGAAAUGCUUAGAUAUGUAAUAGAACACCGAUUGCGAAGGCAGUUCACUAAGGUUGUAUUGACACUGAGGCACGAAAGCGUGGGGAU